GGAUUCUUGAGCCAAAGAAGUUGUGUUUUUCCUUUCUUGUUCACAUUCUGUAAAUUGAAUGUGGGAAUGGAUUAUUUGUAAUUGAUCUUGCCUUCUGUGAUCCAAGGAGCAAGGUGAUAAAUGCUAAAGGCUGUCGUCUAAGCCAUUGUGGACUGAGACAAAGACUGUAAUCCUCAAUGGUUAGCUUACGAAGGCGUAAACUCUUGGGACUGUGUGCUGGGAGAAGUUCUUUCUUGACUCCACUUCCUCGAUUUUUUGAUCAUGGAACAGCUCCUUUAAGCUCUACUCAGAAUGCCAGGUUUGUCAGUGUACAUCCUCUGCCGUCAGAUGAUGUCAAGCAGCCAGGGGAGGUAAAGAAAAGCAUUUUCAAAGUAGGAGCUGGUUUGUCAAAUGUGUCAGCUUCUAGCUCAUCAAAAGAGCAGCAAUC
rnacentral:misc_RNA from 1 species